rnacentral:misc_RNA from 1 species
GGAAGUAAAAGUCGCAACAAGGUUUCCGUAGGUGAACCUGCGGAAGGAUCAUUAUUGUAUAACCGAGGUGCGAGGGCUGUCGCUGACCCGAAAGGUCGUGCACGCCCGAGUGCCCUCACACACAUCCAUCUCACCCCUAUGUGCACCACCGCGUGGGUCCCCCUUUGGCUUGUUCGGAGGGGGGCUUACGUUUUCACACAAACUUUGUAUGCAGUGUAGAAUGUAUUUUUUGUUUUUGCGAUCACGCAAUCAAUACAACUUUCAACUACGGAUCUCUUGGCUCUC